rnacentral:rRNA from 1 species
AACGAACGCUGGCGGCAGGCCUAACACAUGCAAGUCGAACGCACCGCAAGGUGAGUGGCGCACGGGUGAGUAACACGUGGGAAUGUACCCUUUGGUUCGGAAUAACGUUUGGAAACGAACGCUAAUACCGGAUGAGCCCUGCGGGGGAAAGAUUUAUCGCCAAAGGAGCAGCCCGCGUCUGAUUAGCUAGUUGGUGGGGUAAAGGCCUACCAAGGCGACGAUCAGUAGCUGGUCUGAGAGGAUGAUCAGCCACACUGGGACUGAGACACGGCCCAGACUCCUACGGGAGGCAGCAGUGGGGAAUAUUGGACAAUGGGCGGCAAAGCCUGAUCCAGCCAUGCCGCGUGAGU